AUUGAACGCUGGCGGCAGGCUUAACACAUGCAAGUCGAACGAGUGGCGGACGGGUGAGUAAUGCUUGGGAAUCUAGCUUAUGGAGGGGGAUAACUACGGGAAACUGUAGCUAAUACCGCGUACCAUAGGAUGAGCCCAAGUGGGAUUAGGUAGUUGGUGAGGUAAAGGCACACCAAGCCGACGAUCCCUAGCUGGUCUGAGAGGAUGACCAGCCACACGGAGACGGAGACACGGCCCAGACUCCUACUGUAGGCAUUAGUGGGGAAUAUUGCGCAAUGGGAGCAACCCUGACACAGCCAUGCCGCGUGUAUGAAGAAGGCCAUCGGGUUGUAAAGUACUUUCAGCGGGGAGGCGUUACUCGCAGAAGAAGCACCGGCUAACUCCGUGCCAGCAGCCGCGGUAAUUC
rnacentral:rRNA from 1 species